UUUUGCAGUAUAGCUACCAAGACCCACUCUAGAUGACAUGGCGAGUUGGAGAUGGCCAUAAGAUGGGUGUUAGAUCAGAUGACCCGGAAGUACCCAAAUCGUUCCCAACCUUCCAGCCCCUCACAGAAAAAGAGUGGGGAGAAGCACAGCAUCCCUCUCGGAGAGGUCAGGCCUGUUACGAGAGAACUGGCACGUGGAGAGCAUUCAGAUCAAGCACAUGGUCCUGCCUCAGGCACCUCCAAAAUGAAAAUAAAGGGACAAAGACAAUAGAAGAACAGACAACAGCCGCAGAAUCGUGGAAGCCAAAAUCGGAUGGGUGAGGGGUCAUGGACUGUACUGACCGGAUACAGUUGAAUUCGACAUUGGUGUACUGGGUUCAGUGGUGUCCCCCUGAAAUUCAGUCCACCUGGAAAUUCUCGGGGUGACUUUCUUUGGAAAUAGGGUUUUGCAGACAUCGUUAUGUUGAAAUGAGAUUUUAUUGGGUUAGGGGGAGCCCUCAGCCCCAUGAAGAUACAGAAACGCAGAAGGAAGCCCGCGCUGGCUGCAGGCAGUAGGGGGUGGUCUCAGGGUUACCCAAACAACUCAUUGGCUCCAGAGGGUGGGGGCAGGGGAACAGAAGGUGGGGGGAGAAGCCACCUGGCUUAGCCAGCCUGGAGUCGUGUUUUCCUUGGCCGGAGCUGGAAUUCCUCUCAAGGUUCCUGCCCCCAGAGAGCAGCGCGGCUGGACGGGGUAGUGGCCGGGUGCCGUGUUUCAUUCUGUUCGUCCGGGCCGAGAGAGGGACCAAAGAUCAUCCGGGGAAUGUGUGAGGGAUGAAGAGCUCCCUCUAAGCGUGCCAUCCUAGUGGGGGCUGUGGGAUUGUCUUUAGAGGUGGGAGCUCAACGGGCCGGGAUUCAAAGAGGGUCUGACCCAGCCCCUCGAAACAGCCCACACUUUUGGGGGGUUCUUGAGUUGCAGGGAAGCAGGCUGGACUGUUCUGGUGAUCUCUAAGGUUUCCAAGGGAUCCCAGAGGUGGCCUUGAAACUACUGUUUAGAGCCUCUGUCAGAAGAGACAACCCCCCCCCCUCCACACUGUAGUGCCCAGUAUAAUUAUUAUUAUGUUUUGUUUUGUUUUUUUUUUAAUGACUUUCCUAGAAACACUCAGACAGGUCAAGAGCUCAGGUCACCCUAUUUUUACCAUGCAGGCCACCUGCACCUAACCAAGCCCCUCCAUGUUUGCUUUGAGGGAUGCCUGGUUGUCCUCUCUGCCUCUGAGAUCCCGUCCCUGGGGCAUUGGUCACAGCUCAAACAGGAGCAGUAAUACAGCAGGUCAUUCUUGCUACAGAUACUUACCGAGCGCCAUCAGGCCACGUGCCCCAGCUCUUCCAGGCACUGGGUGGUUGGAUUAGCUCUCCCAUCCGCUUUCUGGGCAGCUCUGCAGGAGUUCCCUGGGCCUGGAGGCAGUACCUGUGCUCAGGCCACUCAGGCGAGCACGGCUUCUGACCGGUGAACGGCUGGCCGGGCCAAGCACCCGGCCUCGGCACAGUAUCAAAGCGAGGGCGAGCUCCGGCAGGGCCUGGGUGCCUCCAGCUCUCUCAACAGGAGGGAGCCUGCUUCCCUCCCUGGGCCUGGCUCCAGCUCUCAGGCCUCUCCUCCUGCCUGCCUCUUAUCACUAUUUCCAGUGUUUAGAAAACGUCAUCCUGAGUGGCCAGGGCUGUGAGCCACUGUGAGAGCAAGGAGAGAUUUGCUGCAGGGUGAUGGGGGUCCCCCGGGGCCUGGUUUUGGCGCGCAGAGCUUGUCAGAGCCAGACACGCACUCCCUGGCCCCACCAGCCCACCUCUGCCUCACCUUGGGAAGGUUGAGAUUUGUAGUUUUGACAGAUGGGGGAGAGAAUGAGAUGGUUUCUCUAGACCCCAACUUCCCCCACCAGCACUUUUUAAACAGGAAAUCCAGGGACACCCACUCUCUUUUUCUUGGUCAGCACAAGACCAGAAGACCAACCCCACGUGCUUAGGAAGAAGCCCUUCCAGCGGCCAUGUGCAGACGGCAGUCCUGCUGGGAUUGGGGGACAGCAAGACGCCUCUGGGCCUUGCCCUUUCACGCUGGCAGUGCCAGCUUUAUGGACUCAGAGCCCCCAACCUGCCUUCCUUCAGAUUAUAAGGACUCCAGUCACUAGCGCUCCUAGUCUCUUGGCCAUUUUCCAGUUCCCCUGAGGACCGAAAAGAAGAAAUGGACAAUGGGGAUGUGGGGGGGCGUCUUGAGAUUGGGGGGCCCCCAGACUGCUAAUAGAGCUGCCCCUGGCAGGUUAUUCACAGAGCAGUCCCUCCCCAUGGGCUUCGGUGUACACCUAGUGGAGGCACAACCAGGAGACAGAUGUUUUCUCCAGAUCCUUCCAGCCUUACGGCUUUUAUAACUAGACCUGGAAAAACAUCUUUUCCUUUCUUGUUCCUUUGAAAAAGCAAGAUUGGCUUAAACACAAAGUGAUCAUUGGGGCCUUUUGAAAGUAGAAAAAAUAAAGAGAUGACCUUUUAAGAAUAAUGCUUCA
rnacentral:lncRNA from 1 species